UGGGGAAUAUUGGACAAUGGGCGCAAGCCUGAUCCAGCCAUGCCGCGUGCGGGAAGAAGGCCUUCGGGUUGUAAACCGCUUUUGUCAGGGAAGAAACGCUCUGGGCUAAUACCCUGGGGUAAUGACGGUACCUGAAGAAUAAGCACCGGCUAACUACGUGCCAGCAGCCGCGGUAAUACGUAGGGUGCAAGCGUUAAUCGGAAUUACUGGGCGUAAAGCGUGCGCAGGCGGUUAUGCAAGACAGAUGUGAAAUCCCCGGGCUCAACCUGGGAACUGCAUUUGUGACUGUAUAGCUAGAGUACGGUAGAGGGGGAUGGAAUUCCGCGUGUAGCAGUGAAAUGCGUAGAUAUGCGGAGGAACACCGAUGGCGAAGGCAAUCCCCUGGACCUGUACUGACGCUCAUGCACGAAAGCGUGGGGAGCAAACAGGAUUAGAUACCCACGUAGUCCCUGAGCGGGCUGGCAAGGCGCAU
rnacentral:rRNA from 1 species